rnacentral:rRNA from 1 species
UGGGGAAUAUUGGACAAUGGGCGAAAGCCUGAUCCAGCCAUGCCGCGUGUGUGAAGAAGGUCUUCGGAUUGUAAAGCACUUUAAGUUGGGAGGAAGGGCAGUAAGCGAAUACCUUGCUGUUUUGACGUUACCGACAGAAUAAGCACCGGCUAACUCUGUGCCAGCAGCCGCGGUAAUACAGAGGGUGCAAGCGUUAAUCGGAAUUACUGGGCGUAAAGCGCGCGUAGGUGGUUCGUUAAGUUGGAUGUGAAAGCCCCGGGCUCAACCUGGGAACUGCAUCCAAAACUGGCGAGCUAGAGUAGGGCAGAGGGUGGUGGAAUUUCCUGUGUAGCGGUGAAAUGCGUAGAUAUAGGAAGGAACCCCAGUGGCGAAGGCGACCACCUGGGCUCAUACUGACACUGAGGUGCGAAAGCGUGGGGAGCAAACAGGA